rnacentral:rRNA from 1 species
GAUGAACGCUGGCGGCGUGCCUAAUACAUGCAAGUCGAGCGAAAGGACGAGACGCUUGCUUCUCUGAUGUUAGCGGCGGACGGGUGAGUAACACGUGGAUAACCUACCUAUAUGACUGGGAUAACUUCGGGAAACCGGAGCUAAUACCGGAUGAUAUUUUGAACCGCAUGGUUCAAAAGUGAAAGACGGUCUUGCGGUCACUUAUAGAUGGAUCCGCGCUGCAUUAGCUAGUUGGUAAGGUAACGGCUUACCAAGGCAACGAUGCAUGGCCGACCUGAGAGGGUGGUCGGCCACACUGGAACUGAGGCACGGUCCAGACUCCUACGGGAGGCAGCAGUAGGGAAUCUUCCGCAAUGGGCGAAAUCCUGACGUAGCAACGCGGCUUGAGUGAUGAAGGUCUGCGGAUCGUGAAACUCUGUUAGUUGUGAAGAACAUAUGUGUAAGUAGCUGUGCACAUCGUGACGGUACCUAAUCAGAAAGCCCCGGCUAACUACGUG